rnacentral:rRNA from 1 species
UACGUAGGGUCCAAGCGUUAUCCGGAAUCACUGGGCGUAAAGCGUGCGUAGGUGGAUGUUUAAGUGUGAUGUUAAAUCGUGGGGCUCAACCCUGUCGGUGCAUCGCAUACUGGACGUCUAGAGGACAGCAGAGGCAAGUGGAAUUUGUAGUGUAGCAGUGAAAUGCGUAGAUAUUACAAGGAACACCAAUGGCGAAGGCAGCUUGCUGGGCUACUCCUGACACUGAGGUACGAAAGCGUGGGGAGUGAACAGG